ACUCUGAGUAUUGAUUGGUGCUUGCAUCAUGAUUUACAUUUGAGUGAGUGGCGAACUGGUGAGUAACACGUGGGAAACCUGCCCAGAAGCGGGGGAUAACACCUGGAAACAGAUGCUAAUACCGCAUAACAACUUGGACCGCAUGGUCCGAGUUUGAAAGAUGGCUUCGGCUAUCACUUUUGGAUGGUCCCGCGGCGUAUUAGCUAGAUGGUGGGGUAACGGCUCACCAUGGCAAUGAUACGUAGCCGACCUGAGAGGGUAAUCGGCCACAUUGGGACUGAGACACGGCCCAAACUCCUACGGGAGGCAGCAGUAGGGAAUCUUCCACAAUGGACGAAAGUCUGAUGGAGCAACGCCGCGUGAGUGAAGAAGGGUUUCGGCUCGUAAAACUCUGUUGUUAAAGAAGAACAUAUCUGAGAGUAACUGUUCAGGUAUUGACGGUAUUUAACCAGAAAGCCACGGCUAACUACGUGCCAGCAC
rnacentral:rRNA from 1 species